rfam:Salmonella enterica subsp. enterica serovar Saintpaul str. SARA29 gcontig_1104776689411, whole genome shotgun sequence.
AUAGCCUGAUUGGUGGCUAUACAGUUUAGGUAAGCCCCGGUAAUCUUCUUCGUCGCCAAACAUUGAAAGAUUAUCGGGGUUUUGUCUU